UACGGGGGGGGCAAGCGUUGUUCGGAAUUACUGGGCGUAAAGGGCUCGUAGGUGGCCAACUAAGUCAGACGUGAAAUCCCUCAGCUUAACUGGGGAACUGCGUCUGAUACUGGAUGGCUUGAGUUUGGGAGAGGGAUGCGGAAUUCCUGGUGUAGCGGUGAAAUGCGUAGAUAUCAGGAGGAACACCGGUGGCGAAGGCGGCUACCUGGACAGAAACUGACGCUGAGGCGCGAAAGCUAGGGGAGCAAACAGG
rnacentral:rRNA from 1 species